AGUAAAGUGGCGUACAGUAGUGUACAGUAGAGUACAGUACAGUAGAGUAGAGUACAGUAGAGUAGAGUACAGUACAGUAGAGUAUAGUAGAGUACAGUACAGUACAGUACAGUAGAGGGCAAAAGAGAAUGUAGAAGUGAACUGGAAUAAAAUGGAUAGAUUAGAAAGAAUUCUAUAUAGAAUUGAACACAAGAGAGGAGAAUUAGGACAGUGAGCACAAAUUAAAUUUUAAAUGUUAAAUAAAGUAAAAAGAAAAGUAUAUAGACACGAAUGGAACAGAACACAACAGAGAAUAGAUAGAGCUAGAGAAGAUGUGGUGUUUAUGAGGAAUAGACAUUAACGAAUAGUGAAUCAGUGUUCGAGCUCCGAGAGCAUUUCCAUGCAGUGGGCGUGGCUAUCUCAUGAGUCAGGUCUUGAUGAAGGGGCGUGGCUGAACUCGGACGUCAGACCAAACAUCAGACCGAGAUGCUCAUUCAGCCGUUAUUAAAGCAUCAGAAAGAUUCAGACAUUUUUUAUCCACACAAGCUGCUCAGGCUUCCAGUAACUGCACGGGUCAGACGGAUCAAAACACUGAUGCUGGAAAGCCAAAAACAGACCAGUUCCCUCUUACCUCAAAGCUCUUAACACCCCUCACACUGCACCUCGCUCCCUCACAUCUACCAGCAUUGCUCGACUGGUCCCACCAUCUCUCAGGGUAAGAGGAAGGUAUACAUCAAGGCUCUUCUCUGUUCUGGCACCGAGGUGGCGGAACGAACUUCCACUAGAUGUCUGAGCAGCUGAGUCACUGGCCAUCUUCAGAUGAUGGGUGAAGAUCUUCCUCAAACACUUCAGCCAGUGCUUGUUUUCAAUGUUUGUUGACUUAAAAGCACUCUCGUAUGUCGCUCUGGAUUAACAGCGUCUGCCAAAAUGUAAAUGUAAAUGUAAGAAAAUCGACUUUAAGAAGUGCGCAAGUCAACGCUGAGUACCAGGAACUUAUCAUCUGAUGCCUGAUACCUGAUCUGUGAGUCUGAAUUCUGAAGCUGUCAGUCCAUAUUCAGUGUCUAUACAGUAUAACAGAUAUAACCGAGAUAUAUUCUUCCUCUUUCUUCUAUCUCAUACAAUCUGAAAAUAAGUCUGCAAGAAAACCCUGGAUCUGGCAACCUGAUUUGCGGGUGAAAUAUUCAUGAAUCUACCGUUCGACUCCCCAACACGAAUCCAAAGAGAAUUUUUAUAUGCCACCAUUUAAAGUUUAAUAGUGCAACAUAGCCGAUUCUCAAACGUCUUCCGAUAAAGUCUGAAGUGUGGCAUUUCCUGUUAUAGAGCAGCUUUCAGGAUUCGAACCUCGUCAUCGAUUAAACACGAAGCAUGACUUCGGACUAUCGUAUUCUGUCCGCGCACACAUCCGGAGCUCCAGGAAAAAGGAGAAGUGUGAGCGGGAUCGACGCUACAGUAAGUCUCUGUGCUCCUUACUGACCUGAAAACUUCAAUCAGCAGUCUGUCUGGAGCAGGAGAUCCUGAGGAAGAGAAGACAGUGGAGUAAAGAACACUCACUCACUACCUCGGGUCACGGGGAGCCUGUGCCUAUCUCAGGCGUCAUCGGGCAUCGAGGCAGGAUACACCCUGGACGGAGUGCCAACCCAUCACAGGGCACACACACUCUCAUUCACUCACACACUACAGACAAUUUCCCAGAGAUGCCAAUCGACCUACCAUGCAUGUCUUUGGACCGGGAAGGAAACCCCCGAGGCACAGGGAGAACAUGCAAACUCCACACACACAAGGCGUAGGCGGGAAUCGAACCCCGACCUGGUGUAACAAACCUGGUGUAAGGCGAACGUGCUAACCGCUAAGCCACCAUGUCCCCUGGAGUAAACAGCAGAACGGAAAUAUAGGAGGUGGAAUCGAUGACGCAAACCUUCUUCUUCUUGACGUAAUUGCACUCGAUGAUCUCAAAGUCAGCCAGCCGAUACGAUUCGUUUCGUGUCGGUCGAGCGACUGAAAGGUUUCACCUUCUAAAAUUGCAGCAGGAAUUCAGAAAAUCGCAGAAAACGAUAACGUUUUCUCAACCACUUACAGACGUGGAACUUUUUUCCAGAGACAUCAUUCUUUUAUAAAGUUUUAUAAAUGUCAGCUCAGCAGGGGAACGCACAAACCUCACUGAAUCAUAAAUGCCAAUACGGCAUCAGGUGUUCGGGGGAGUUAAGAACAGCAACAACAACAACAACAACAACAACAACAACAAAAAAAAACCUCUGAAAUCAAUAACGAUAUAAAAAUACAGUAAUUUCACAACCAAAUCGUUUCCCAUUGUGAAAAUUUUACAUUUUGAAACCUGACAACAAAAAAAUGAGAAAUUAUAUUUAAAGAUGAAAAGAUUUCGUUCCAGUUAUACGAUUGUUAUAGAAAAUGAGCUUUCAGGUUAAUUAUCUGCAUCAGUCUUUACAAGCGCAUGAGGUGAGACGGUCACAUAACCGAAAGAUUACUACAAUCUAUUCAUGACUUUAAAAUGACUUUUAAUGUGUUUGUGUGUGUUUUUUUUUUUAUUUUCAUCUUUAUUAGAAUUCAGCUGCACAUUUAGUGCUUAAUAAGCUCAAUUGAAAAUAACAAACAAAAAUGAUAAACAAAAUAUAUAUAUAUUUUUUAUUAUUCAAGUAUUUUAUAAGUUAAAGGUGCGGUCUCCGAUUUUUGAAAGCGAA